rnacentral:misc_RNA from 1 species
CGCACAUUGCGCCCGCCAGUAUUCUGGCGGGCAUGCCUGUUCGAGCGUCAUUUCAACCCUCAGGACCACCGCUUGCGGCGGGACUGGUGUUGGGGAUCAGCGUAGGUGCCGGGCCCUGCCCUGCCUGCUGGCCCUGAAAUACAGUGGCGGUCUCGCUGCGGACUCCCUUGCGUAGUAACUCACCUCGCUCGCGGAAGCCCGGCCUGGCCACGCCGUCAAACCCCCUAUUUUCAAUGGUUGACCUCGAAUCAGGUAGGAAUACCCGCUGAACUUAA